UACACCAGGCAGUCCUAAUCUGCAAAAUCAGAUAUUCAAACCCAGAUUCACCAUUUCAUGUGUUUUUUCUUCCACCAUUUUGUUGUAGUAAGACUCUAUGUACCUCCUAGAACUAGAAGGCAACGAUAGAGGGAGUAGGGGUUGUGUUGUGGCUAGGUAAGACUAUCUUUGAAAUGGUGAUUCUAGGUUUUGAAUCUCUGAUUUUGCAGAUAAGGACUACCUGGUGUC
rnacentral:pre_miRNA from 1 species